AACGAACGCUGGCGGCAGGCCUAACACAUGCAAGUCGAGCGAAGCCUUCGGGCUUAGCGGCGGACGGGUGAGUAACGCGUGGGAACGUGCCCUUUGGUACGGCAUAGCCCCGGGAAACUGGGAGUAAUACCGUAUGUGGUCGAGAGACGAAAGAUUAAUCGCCAAAGGAACGGCCCGCGUUGGAUUAGGCAGUUGGUGGGGUAAUGGCCUACCAAGCCGACGAUCCAUAGCUGGUUUGAGAGGAUGAUCAGCCACACUGAGACAGAGACACGGCCCAGACGCCUACGAGAGGCAGAAGUGGGAAAGCUUAGACAAUGGGCGAAACCCUGAUCUAGCCAUGCCGCGUGAUCGAUGAAGGCCUUAGGGUUGUAAAGAUCUUCCAGUGGGGAAGAUAAUGACUGUACCCACAGAAGAAGCCCCGGCUAACUCCGUGCCAGCCGCCGAAGUAAUAC
rnacentral:rRNA from 1 species